rnacentral:rRNA from 1 species
AUUGAACGCUGGCGGCAGGCUUAACACAUGCAAGUCGAGCGGAGUGAUGGUGCUUGCACUAUCACUUAGCGGCGGACGGGUGAGUAAUGCUUAGGAAUCUGCCUAUUUGUGAGGGACAACAUCUCGAAAGGGAUGCUAAUACCGCAUACGUCCUACGGGAGAAAGCAGGGGAUCCGUGGUGACCUUGCGCUAAUAGAUGAGCCUAAGUCGGAUUAGCUAGUUGGUGGGGUAAAGGCCUACCAAGGCGACGAUCUGUAGCGGGUAAGAGAGGAUGAUCCGCCACACUGGGACUGAGACACGGCCCAGACUCCUACGGGAGGCAGCAGUGGGGAAUAUUGGACAAUGGGGGGAACCCUGAUCCAGCCAUGCCGCGUGUGUGAAGGAGGCCUUAUGGUUGUAAAGCACUUUAAGCGAGGAGGAGGCUCUUUUGGUUAAUACCCAAGAUGAGUGGACGUUACUCGCAGAAUAAGCACCGGCUAACUCUGUGCCAGCCGCCGCGGUAA